AGGUAUGAUCAUACCAGCACUAAUGCACCGGAUCCCAUCAGAACUCCGCAGGUAAGCGAGCUCGGGCGAGAGUAGUACUAGGAUGGGUGACCUCCUGGGAAGUCCUCGUGUAGCACCUC
rnacentral:rRNA from 2 species